rnacentral:rRNA from 1 species
UACGGAGGGUGCGAGCGUUGUCCGGAAUCACUGGGCGUAAAGGGCGCGUAGGCGGCCUGGUAAGUAGGGGGUGAAAUCCUGCGGCUUAACCGCAGGGCUGCCUUCUAAACUGUCAGGCUCGAGCACUGUAGAGGCAGGCGGAAUUCCGGGUGUAGCGGUGGAAUGCGUAGAGAUCCGGAAGAACACCGGUGGCGAAGGCGGGCUGCUGGGCAGUAGCUGACACUGAGGCGCGACAGCGUGGGGAGCAAACAGG